rnacentral:rRNA from 1 species
UUAAGUGACUAAGCGUACAAGGUGGAUGCCUUGGCAAUCAGAGGCGACGAAGGACGUGCUAAUCUGCGAAAAGCUUGGAUGAGUCGAUAAGAGGCGUUUAAUCCAAGAUGUCCGAAUGGGGAAACCCAGUAGAUGAAGAAUCUACUAUCACUUACUGAAUCCAUAGGUAAGUGAGGCAAACCGGGAGAACUGAAACAUCUAAGUACCCCGAGGAAAAGAAAUCAACCGAGAUUUCGUUAGUAGCGGCGAGCGAACGCGAAGGAGCCUGUUAGUGAUAAUGACAGAGACAGAGGAACAAGCUGGGAAGCUUGGCGAUACAGGGUGAUAGCCCCGUACUCGAAGUCCAGGUCAUGGUACUAAGCUAACGACAAGUAGGGCGGGACACGUGAUAUCCUGUUUGAAGAUGGGGGGACCAUCCUCCAAGGCUAAAUACUCCUGAUUGACCGAUAGUGAACCAGUACUGUGAAGGAAAGGCGAAAAGAACCCCGGUGAGGGGAGUGAAAUAGAACCUGAAACCUUGUACGUACAAGCAGUGGGAGCCCUUUAAGGGUGACUGCGUACCUUUUGUAUAAUGGGUCAGCGACUUAUAUUUUGUAGCGAGGUUAACCGAAUAGGGGAGCCGAAGGGAAACCGAGUCUUAACUGGGCGUCUAGUUGCAAGGUAUAGACCCGAAACCCGGUGAUCUAGCCAUGGGCAGGUUGAAGGUUGGGUAACACUAACUGGAGGACCGAACCGACUAAUGUUGAAAAAUUAGCGGAUGACUUGUGGCUGGGGGUGAAAGGCCAAUCAAACCGGGAGAUAGCUGGUUCUCCCCGAAAUCUAUUUAGGUAGAGCCUUGAGCGGACACCUUCGGGGGUAGAGCACUGUUUCGGCUAGGGGUCCAUCCCGGAUUACCAACCCGAUGCAAACUACGAAUACCGAAGAGUGAUACUCAGGAGACACACGGCGGGUGCUAACGUCCGUCGUGGAGAGGGAAACAACCCAGACCGCCAGCUAAGGUCCCAAAGUCUAUAUUAAGUGGGAAACGAAGUGGGAAGGCUUAGACAGCUAGGAUGUUGGCUUAGAAGCAGCCAUCAUUUAAAGAAAGCGUAAUAGCUCACUAGUCGAGUCGGCCUGCGCGGAAGAUGUAACGGGGCUCAAAUAUAGCACCGAAGCUGCGGCAUCAGACGUAAGUCUGUUGGGUAGGGGAGCGUUCUGUAAGCGGAUGAAGGUGGCUCGAGAGGGCUGCUGGACGUAUCAGAAGUGCGAAUGCUGACAUAAGUAACGAUAAAACGGGUGAAAAACCCGUUCGCCGGAAGACCAAGGGUUCCUGUCCAACGUUAAUCGGGGCAGGGUGAGUCGGCCCCUAAGGCGAGGCUGAAAAGCGUAGUCGAUGGGAAACGGGUUAAUAUUCCCGUACUUGGAUAAACUGCGAUGUGGGGACGGAGCAGGUUAGGUUAUCGCACUGUUGGAUAUGUGCGUUUAAGUUUGUAGGUGAGAAGUUUAGGCAAAUCCGGACUUCUUUAACACUGAGAGAUGAUGACGAGGCUCUACGGAGCUGAAGUAACCGAUACCACACUUCCAGGAAAAGCCACUAAGCUUCAGGUUUAUCUAAACCGUACUGAAAACCGACACAGGUGGUCAGGUAGAGAAUACUCAGGCGCUUGAGAGAACUCGGGUGAAGGAACUAGGCAAAAUAGCACCGUAACUUCGGGAGAAGGUGCGCCGGCGUAGAUUGUAGUCCCUUGCGGGCGAAGGUUGAACCGGUCGAAGAUACCAGCUGGCUGCAACUGUUUAUUAAAAACACAGCACUCUGCAAACACGAAAGUGGACGUAUAGGGUGUGAUGCCUGCCCGGUGCUGGAAGGUUAAUUGAUGGUGUAAUCGAAAGAGAAGCUCCUGAUCGAAGCCCCAGUAAACGGCGGCCGUAACUAUAACGGUCCUAAGGUAGCGAAAUUCCUUGUCGGGU